rnacentral:rRNA from 2 species
CCCUUCGGGGUACUCGAGCGGCGAACGGGUGAGUAACACGUGAGCAACCUGCCCCAGGCUUUGGGAUAACCCCGGGAAACCGGGGCUAAUACCGAAUAUGACCUUGCACCGCAUGGUGUUUGGUGGAAAGUUUUUCGGCUUGGGAUGGGCUCGCGGCCUAUCAGCUUGUUGGUGGGGUGAUGGCCUACCAAGGCGACGACGGGUAGCCGGCCUGAGAGGGCGACCGGCCACACUGGGACUGAGACACGGCCCAGACUCCUACGGGAGGCAGCAGUGGGGAAUAUUGCACAAUGGGCGGAAGCCUGAUGCAGCGACGCCGCGUGAGGGAUGACGGCCUUCGGGUUGUAAACCUCUUUCAGCAGGGACGAAGCGUAAGUGACGGUACCUGCAGAAGAAGCGCCGGCCAACUACGUGCCAGCAGCCGCGGUAAGACGUAGGGCGCGAGCGUUGUCCGGAUUUAUUGGGCGUAAAGAGCUCGUAGGCGGCUUGUCGCGUCGACUGUGAAAACCCGCAGCUCAACUGCGGGCCUGCAGUCGAUACGGGCAGGCUAGAGUUCGGUAGGGGAGACUGGAAUUCCUGGUGUAGCGGUGAAAUGCGCAGA